rnacentral:tRNA from 1 species
GCAGCGGUAGUUCAGUUGGUUAGAAUACCGGCCUGUCACGCCGGGGGUCGCGGGUUCGAGCCCCGUCCGCUGCGC